UACGUAGGGGGCAAGCGUUAUCCGGAAUUACUGGGUGUAAAGGGUGCGCAGGUGGCAUGGUAAGUCAGAAGUGAAAACCCGGGGCUCAACCCCGCGGAGUGCUUUUGGAACUGCCGUGCUGGAGUGCAGGAGGGGCAGGCGGAAUUCCUGGUGUAGCGGUGAAAUGCGUAGAUAUCAGGAGGAACACCGGUGGCGAAGGCGGCCUGCUGGACUGUAACUGACACUGAGGCUCGAAAGCGUGGGGAGCA
rnacentral:rRNA from 1 species